rnacentral:lncRNA from 1 species
CCCACCCCUUGUGCCGAGUGCCUGCCAGGGCUGGUGGCACUGCGGGGUGGGGGCAAAGCCCCUGGGCCACACCGAAAUGUGCUGGAACUUGUAAUUCCUUACAAAUGGCUCUUCCUUCCAGAACAAUCUGCCUCAUUCUAAAUUAAUUACCGGCACCUUUGUGAUUUAAUACCCUGUGUGAGGAGGAAGGAAGGUUUCCUUUCAGCAGCCUUCACUCCUCCACGCGGAAUCGCUCCGCAUCCCUGCAAUCCCAGAAUGUUUUACAAGCGGCCCUGCUCUGGCACAGACCUCCCCAUCUGUUUGCUUGAAUAAUAAUCAGCAUUUCCAUUCCGCCAGUGCCCUUUGUCCUGCCUGCUCUCUGCUCAGAACCAUCUGCUCGCGAUUGCCGGAAUUCCAGGCUUGGAGCUGUGCCUUUGGCCUGCCUGGGGAGCCAGGGAGGUUUUUCCAGCUGUUGCCCAAAUUCCUGGUUUGUUUUGCCAAGCAGGAGCUGGGUGUGAGCUCCCCUGGCCCACGUGUGGGUCUGGCUGAACGUCAGGGAGGGAAAUCCCUGGAUUUCAGGGCUCUGGGCUCUUCCUGCUGCUUUUGGCUCUUCUCCAGAGGGGGAAAAGCUCCACGUGAGCAAAGGGAAGAUCUCAGUGCCCGGGGCAGUCCUUGCCAGGAGCUGGCGCCAGCCAGCCUUCCCUCAGUGUCUGGAGGUGUCUUUGCAGUGGCAGCAGGAAGGGUCACUGUGGAGCUCUCCUGUCCUGGAUCCUGCUCUCCCGUUCCUCCUGAGCCUUCCCUGCAGAGGGAAAUUGGGAAUUGUCGCUGUUCCUGCCGUUCCUGCAGCUCUCUGAGGAUCCAUCCUCGGCUUCCAGCUCCAAACCAAUUUCUGUUUGUGCCUGGCGGUCACACCCUGAGCUCAGCGCCCUGCUCACCUUCUCCUCCUGCUCCCAGCAGGGUUGGAAAUCCAUCUGGGGAUGUCCAGAGGUUCCUCCCCAAGGAAUCCUUGGAUGAAUCCCUGAUUCUGCUCCUUCCCAAAGCUGUGGAGGCCCCUGGGCUCUGCAGCUGGGAGCGGUGGAAACCAUUCAUGUUGAGCGGGCUGCAGCCAUGCUUUAAAUGGAGAACAAAUUCUCCUAAUUGGUUUUUUUGGCAGAUUUUCCGUGAUAAAUUAUUCUCUAACUUUACAGCUCCUUAAAUUGGGGUUUGUGGUGCUGUUUACAAACCCGCAGAAAGCGAUGCCUGAGCAAAUAGACAAUGAAAGGGAUCUUGUAAACCACAGUUGUGUGUAAUUGCUGCCUGGGAAGUGUUCAUGGGGGAGAGAAAAGCCUUCCUCCUCUUCCAGCUUUGACAUUCACACUGUAAAUGUUUGCAAAUCUGCCUCUCCCUGCCCUAAUUAUUUGUUGUUUGUGUGUUUGGGAAGGUUUGCAGGGCUGGUCCUGGUGUGACACCACUCAGAAAAUCUCUCCUGCCACAGCCCUGGGUCCUCCUGACUUGUGGGGGAAUUUGGGACGUUCCAGCCUGGGGGAAGUUGAUGUUUUUGUGUUUCCAGAGCUCUGUUUGUGCUUUUGCUGUGUUUUAUCCUCGGAACUCGCUGGCCAGAGCUGCCUCUGGCUCGGUCCUGCCCUGGGGACCCUGAGGUGAGGCUGGCUGUUCCUGCCCCAGCUUUGACAGGAAUUUGGAAUGAAAAAUGAGGAUUCCCUGCCUUUGGUGUUGGGGUUUUGGGGCAGAAAUGACCAAUAUCAGUGAAGCUCUCGGCCCUUCCCGCAGGACUCUGCUCCCUGUGGUCCCACAGGUGAGAGGGGACGGCUGGAGGUGAGUGCAGCCACCCGAGGCAGUCCUGGUGUCACAUCUGUGUCACAUCUGUGCCACAUCUGCAGCUGGAAAACCUUCCCUGCCCAGGCCAGGGCCAUGGCCACUUCCCAGUGGAGCAGAAAGCGCCGGGAAUGGGAAAUCCUGGGAAUGGGAAAUCCCGGGAAUGUCUGAGCCCCUCUGGGGCACUGUGGUGGGGCUGGGGCUGGGCUGUGCUCAGGACAGGGUGCAGGUGAAGGGACAGGAGCAGCAAAUUCUCCUCUCUGAUCCUCUCCAGGGCCUUUCCCCUUUGGUGUGAUCCCACAGCUCCCAGACCUCCUCUGGAAUGGGAUCUGCUCCCAGGUUUUUCCUGGGUUCUGCUGGGACACGAGGAGGGAGCCCCAGGC